rnacentral:rRNA from 1 species
GUUUUGGGUACCGCCCCGGUUUAAAUUUCUUGGAACAGAAUGUCAGAGAGGGUGAGAAUCCCGUCUUGGACCGGUGGUAGGGCCUGUGUAAAACUCCUUCGACGAGUCGAGUUGUUUGGGAAUGCAGCUCAAAAUGGGUGGUAAAUUUCAUCUAAAGCUAAAUAUUGGCCAGAGACCGAUAGCGCACAAGUAGAGUGAUCGAAAGAUGAAAAGAACUUUGAAAAGAGAGUUAAACAGUAUGUGAAAUUGUUGAAAGGGAAGCGCUUGCAACCAGACUUGAGCGCGACGGUUCCCCUAGCCUUUUGGCUAGGUUACUCCGUCGUGUCCAGGCCAACAUCGGUUCUGAGGGUCGGUCAAAGGCUCUGGGAAUGUAUCUACCCACGGGUAGACUUAUAGACCAGGGUGUCAUGCGACCUCUCGGGACCGAGGAACGCGCUUCGGCUCGGAUGUUGGCGUAAUGGUUGUCAGCGACCCGUCUUGAAACACGGACCAAGGAGUCUAACAUCUAUGCGAGUGUUUGGGUGUCAAACCCGGAACGCGAAAUGAAAGUGAACGGAGGUAGGAAGCUUCGGCUGCACUAUCGACCGAUCCUGAAGUUUACGGAUGGAUUUGAGUAAGAGCAUAGCUGUUGGGACCCGAAAGAUGGUGAAC